rnacentral:rRNA from 1 species
AAUCAACGCUGGCGGCGUGCCUAACACAUGCAAGUCGAACGCGAAAGUCCCGCAAGGGAUGAGUAGCGUGGCGAACGGGUGAGUAACGCGUGGGUGACCUGCCGUCGAGUGGGGGAUAACGUCUCGAAAGGGACGCUAAUACCGCAUGACAUCCGGCCUUUGGAGAGGCGGAGAUCAAAGACUGGGGAGUCGCAAGACCUGGCGCUCGACGAGGGGCCCGCGUCCGA